CGCUGGCGGCAUGCCUUACACAUGCAAGUCGAACGGCAGCACGGAGCUUGCUCUGGUGGCGAGUGGCGAACGGGUGAGUAAUAUAUCGGAACGUACCCAGGAGUGGGGGAUAACGUAGCGAAAGUUACGCUAAUACCGCAUACGACCCAAGGGUGAAAGUGGGGGAUCGCAAGACCUCAUGCUCAUGGAGCGGCCGAUAUCUGAUUAGCUAGUUGGUGGGGUAAAAGCCUACCAAGGCAUCGAUCAGUAGCUGGUCUGAGAGGACGACCAGCCACACUGGAACUGAGACACGGUCCAGACUCCUACGGGAGGCAGCAGUGGGGAAUUUUGGACAAUGGGCGCAAGCCUGAUCCAGCAAUGCCGCGUGAGUGAAGAAGGCCUUCGGGUUGUAAAGCUCUUUUGUCAGGGAAGAAACGGUGAGGGCUAAUAUCCCUUGCUAAUGACGGUACCUGAAGAAUAAGCACCGGCU
rnacentral:rRNA from 1 species